GCUGGGCAUGGUGGUGCACGCCUGUAAUCCCAGCUACUCGGGAGGCUGAGGUGGGAGGAUCACUUGAGGUCAGGAAUUCGAAACCAGCCUGGCCAACAUGGUGAAACCCCGUCUCUA
ensembl:misc_RNA Metazoa_SRP Metazoan signal recognition particle RNA